rnacentral:tRNA from 1 species
GUCCCUGUAGCGCUAUGGAUAGUGCGUUGGAUUUCUCAUCCAAAGGUCGUGGGUUCGAAUCCCACCUGGGAUG